rnacentral:rRNA from 1 species
AUUGAACGCUGGCGGCAUGCCUUACACAUGCAAGUCGAACGGCAGCACGGGGGCAACCCUGGUGGCGAGUGGCGAACGGGUGAGUAACACAUCGGAACGUGCCCAGUAGUGGGGGAUAGCUCGGCGAAAGCCGGAUUAAUACCGCAUACGACCUACGGGUGAAAGCGGGGGAUCGCAAGACCUCGCGCUAUUGGAGCGGCCGAUGUCAGAUUAGGUUGUUGGUGGGGUAAAGGCCUACCAAGCCGACGAUCUGUAGCUGGUCUGAGAGGACGACCAGCCACACUGGGACUGAGACACGGCCCAGACUCCUACGGGAGGCAGCAGUGGGGAAUUUUGGACAAUGGGCGCAAGCCUGAUCCAGCCAUGCCGCGUGCGGGAAGAAGGCCUGGUGUAACG